rnacentral:misc_RNA from 1 species
AAAGUUGUAACAAGGUUUUCGUAAGUGAACCACGGAAGGAUCAUUAAAAAAAAGGAUGCGCUCCGGCACAUAGCUCCUGCGGCAAGGGGCUGAGAGGUGGGGGCUUGAUUGAGUCUCUUAACCCUUUGUGAACUUUAUACCUUUUGCUUCGACAGCACACCCUCCCUUGGGAGGCUUGGCAAGGCUGCUGAUAGCCCAUUUUAAACUAUUUUAUUUUAAAUCAUGAAGUCUGAUUACUGUUAAAUUUAAACAAGUUAAAACUUUCAGCAACGGAUCUCUUGGUUCUC